UACGUAGGGAGCAAGCGUUGUCCGGAAUUACUGGGCGUAAAGAGCGUGUAGGCGGUUACUUAAGUCAGAUGUGAAAACUCAGGGCUCAACCUUGAGAGUGCAUCUGAUACUGGGUAACUUGAGUGCAGGAGAGGAAAGUGGAAUUCCUAGUGUAGCGGUGAAAUGCGUAGAUAUUAGGAGGAACACCAGUGGCGAAGGCGACUUUCUGGACUGUAACUGACGCUGAGACGCGAAAGCGUGGGGAGCAAACAGG
rnacentral:misc_RNA from 1 species